rnacentral:rRNA from 1 species
GGCGGCGUGCUUAACACAUGCAAGUCGAACGAUGAACCACUUCGGUGGGGAUUAGUGGCGAACGGGUGAGUAACACGUGGGCAAUCUGCCCUUCACUCCGGGACAAGCCCUGGAAACGGGGUCUAAUACCGGAUAACACUUCCACUCGCAUGGGUGGGGGUUAAAAGCUCCGGCGGUGAGGGAUGAGCCCGCGGCCUAUCAGCUUGUUGGUGAGGUAACGGCUCACCAAGGCGACGACGGGUAGCCGGCCUGAGAGGGCGACCGGCCACACUGGGACUGAGACACGGCCCAGACUCCUACGGGAGGCAGCAGUGGGGAAUAUUGCACAAUGGGCGAAAGCCUGAUGCAGCGACGCCGCGUGAGGGAUGACGGCCUUCGGGUUGUAAACCUCUUUCAGCAGGGAAGAAGCGCAAGUGACGGUACCUGCAGAAGAAGCGCCGGCUAACUACGUGCCAGCAGCCGCGGUAAUACGUAGGGCGCGAGCGUUGUCCGGAAUUAUUGGGCGUAAAGAGCUCGUAGGCGGCUUGUCGCGUCGAUUGUGAAAGCCCGGGGCUUAACCCCGGGUCUGCAGUCGAUACGGGCAGGCUAGAGUGUGGUAGGGGAGAUCGGAAUUCCUGGUGUAGCGGUGAAAUGCGCAGAUAUCAGGAGGAACACCGGUGGCGAAGGCGGAUCUCUGGGCCAUUACUGACGCUGAGGAGCGAAAGCGUGGGGAGCGAACAGGAUUAGAUACCCUGGUAGUCCACGCCGUAAACGGUGGGAACUAGGUGUUGGCGACAUUCCACGUCGUCGGUGCCGCAGCUAACGCAUUAAGUUCCCCGCCUGGGGAGUACGGCCGCAAGGCUAAAACUCAAAGGAAUUGAC